rnacentral:lncRNA from 1 species
AUGGUACCGCAUAUGCGUGCAAGCACUGGAUCGCCACCUUCUUUCGCUAGACGAGCAGUGUUGCCGUGUGAUACGAAGGUUGCUCGUUCUUGGAAUGAGGUGUACACGAACCCUAAAUAUGGGUUGUUUUCUGUACCUGGGUCCUGCCCAACCCAAAAAUUUAAAAUAAAAAUAAAAAUAAAAAUUAGAUAUUAACCUUCAAAAAUGUGUUACAUAGAAAAAUGUAGCUAUUGAAUUUCCUAGAGUUGACUCCAGUACAGUCAACACUAAUUCACUCUAAUAUAAUAUAUUUUUUAGGAACAAUAAAUACAUUGCUAUUAGUUCCUACUGGUCCACCAAAAAAUAAAAUAAAAAAAUUCCUACGCUUAGUGUUAUUUUCAGAAUAUUUUUAGAGUAUUGAGUUUCUUUUUAUAAUUUCAUAAAAAUUAAUAAUUAGAUAAAAAAAAUCAUACUAUAUUUUUAUUUUUGAGUAAUUUUAUAAUGGGAGAUGUAACAAAGGAAAUUACAAAAAAAAAAAAAAAUGAAAUUAAGGAAAAGAGAAGAAAAGGUUACCAUGCCAGCUCCAAUGAGGUACUGAACGGUCUUUUCAAUCAUCUCCAUAUCAACCCGACCAGAAAGAUACAAAUAAGUCUUAAGCAAAUCCCCAUGUCUAUUUUCUUCGGCAGUCCAA